rnacentral:rRNA from 1 species
UGCAAGUCGAACGCAGUAGCAAUACUGAGUGGCAGACGGGUGAGUAACAUGUGGGAAUCUGCCUUGUGGUUCAGGACAACAUUGGGAAACCGAUGCUAAUACUGGAUAAGCCCUUACGGGGAAAGUUUUAAUGCCAUAAGAUGAGCCCGCAUUUGAUUAGUUAGUUGGUGAGGUAAUGGCUCACCAAGACAAUGAUCAAUAGCUGAUCUGAGAGGAUGAUCAGCCACACUGGGACUGAGACACGGCCCAGACUCCUACGGGAGGCAGCAGUGGGGAAUCUUGCACAAUGGAGGAAACUCUGAUGCAGCGAUGCCGCGUGAGUGAAGAAGGCCUUUGGGUUGUAAAGCUCUUUUGUAGGGGAAGAUAAUGACUGUACCCUAAGAAUAAGGUCCGGCUAACUUCGUGCCAGCAGCCGCGGUAAUACGAAGGGACCUAGCGUAGUUCGGAAUUACUGGGCGUAAAGCGCGCGUAGGCCGUUGAGUUAGUUAAUUGUGAAAUCCCAAAGCUUAACUUUGGAACUGCAAUUAAAACUGCUCGACUAGAGUUUGAUAGAGGAAAGCGGAAUACAUAGUGUAGAGGUGAAAUUCGUAGAUAUUAUGUAGAACACCAGUUGCGAAGGCGGCUUUCUGGAUCAACACUGACGCUGAGGCGCGAAAGUAUGGGUAGCAAAGAGGAUUAGAUACCCUCGUAGUCCAUACCAUAAACGAUGAUUGCUAGAUGUUGGAAAUUUAUUUUCAGUAUCGCAGCUAACGCAUUAAGCAAUCCGCCUGGGGAGUACGACCGCAAGGUUAAAACUCAAAUGAAUUGACGGGGACCCGCACAAGCGGUGGAGCAUGUGGUUUAAUUCGAAGAUACGCGCAGAACCUUACCAACCCUUGACAUGUCUGUCGCGAGUUUAGGAAACUAGACUUUUCGGUUCGGCCGGACAGAACACAGGUGCUGCAUGGCUGUCGUCAGCUCGUGUCGUGAGAUGUUGGGUUAAGUCCCGCACGAGCGCAACCCCUACUUUU